rnacentral:rRNA from 1 species
UAAACGACUCUCGACAACGGAUAUCUCGGCUCUCGCAUCGAUGAAGAACGUAGCGAAAUGCGAUACUUGGUGUGAAUUGCAGAAUCCCGUGAACCAUCGAGUUUUUGAACGCAAGUUGCGCCCGAAGCCGUUAGGCCAAGGGCACGUCUGCCUGGGCGUCACAUGUCGUUGCCCCCCAACCCCUUUGCGGGCUGGACGGGGCAGAUGAUGGCUCUCCCGUGUGCCUCGUCACGCGGUUGGCUUAAAUACCUA